UGGGGAAUCUUGGACAAUGGGGGCAACCCUGAUCCAGCCAUGCCGCGUGAGUGAUGAAGGCCUUCGGGUCGUAAACUUCUGUCAAAUGGGAAGAGGUUUGUAGUUAAGAGCUAGUGAACUUGACGGUACCAUCAGAGGAAGUCCCGGCUAACUCCGUGCCAGCAGCCGCGGUAAUACGGAGGGGGUUAGCGUUGUUCGGAAUUACUGGGCGUAAAGCGCACGUAGGCGGACCAGAAAGUUGGGGUGAAUCCGGGGCUCACCCGACUGCUCCAAACUAUUGGUCUAGAGUUCGAGAGAGGUGAGUGGAAUUCCAAGUGUAGAGGUGAAAUUCGUAGAUAUUUGGAGGAACACCAGUGGCGAAGGCGGCUCACUGGCUCGAUACUGACGCUGAGGUGCGAAAGUGU
rnacentral:rRNA from 1 species